UACGUAGGGUGCGAGCGUUAAUCGGAAUUACUGGGCGUAAAGCGUGCGCAGGCGGUUUUGAAAGUCAGAUGUGAAAUCCCCGAGCUCAACUUGGGAACUGCGUUUGAAACUCCAAGACUCGAAUAUGUCAGAGGGGGGUAGAAUUCCACGUGUAGCAGUGAAAUGCGUAGAGAUGUGGAGGAAUACCAAUGGCGAAGGCAGCCCCCUGGGAUAAUAUUGACGCUCAUGCACGAAAGCGUGGGGAG
rnacentral:rRNA from 1 species